UCAUCCAAGAUGCGAUUGGAGCGUUGGUGUUUAUCAUUUUACAGCUUUCUUUCUUUUCGUUCUAGUUGGCUUUUAAUCUUGGUUUAGCUUAAACCGCUUAAUCACCAUGUAUUUUACACUUAGUGGCAGAUCUAUAAACUGUUUUUACCCAAGAAAAAAGUUACAUAAUAAAAAUUAGAAAUAUAGUUUAAUAAAUCAACAUGGGCAAUAUUAAAAGUCGGUAAGCAAUUACACCAAAUUUAUAAAUACUCUUGUUUAUUUCUACAACACUAAAUUCACAUCAAUUAAGGAGAUGAUUGGAAGAAGUUGUAGCUUUAUAUUUUUGGUUUAGAAAUAAAACUGUAGAUUUUUUUGUUGUGGUUGUAGAUACUUUUGCUGUAGAAUAUCAGCUGUAUGUUUAAAAAGAUUCAAUGACUUACAUAUAAAUAUUCUAAAGCAAAAAAUAAAUACUCUAGAUUUUUGGCUUUCCACAUCUAAAAAUAAAUAAAAAAAGAAAAAUUUGUAGCUUUAAAAAAUAUUUACAAAGUAUGAUUGGCAAAAUUUUGGGCUGUAGAAAUAAUUUUGGCUGUAGAAAGAUCUUACAACACUUCUAAAGUAUUUGCCAAUCAACCCCUAAGUUUUAAUAAAAAAAUAAAAAUCACAGUUCUUAAAAUAACCUACAGUUGUACAAGUGCUUUAUAGAGCCAAAUAUUCACAGCAAUUUUUUUAGGAUUUCUAUAAAAUUCUAAAGCAAUAUAAUCUAAAGACACAACUAAAAGUCUACAGAUUUUUUUCUACAUCAAAAUUUUUAAAGAUAAAACCAUUACCAAUCGAACUCACUAAAAGGGACAACUCGAUACACUUAGCCACGUGUGUAAGCAAACUAAUUUGAAUUAUGUUGUUGAUCUUUGAUAUAUGUACGGAAAAUAUAUAUGGCAUAGUUUUUAUUUGAUUUAUACUUAAAUUCUCAAAAAGUUUCAUACAUUUUUAAAUUAUAUAUUAUUAUUUAGAAAAACUUUAUUUUACCCUCAAAAAUCAAAAUAUUUAAUUUAUUUAUUUUAAAAGGGAAUAUUGUCCAUAAAACACGUGAGUUGUCCGAUGAAAAUAGAGAAACUAGGGUUUUUAGCUACCAGUCAGAUCAUUGUUCACCCAAAUCCGAUAUGUUGGGUCCAAGAGUAUAAGGUUUAUUUUGGUCGGUUUCUCUUCUUCUUCUUUAGUGAUUUUUGAACGAGUAUAUUCUUGAUAUCAAAUGUCUUAUCCCCGUGGGAAUUUGCGAUAUCAUCUAUACUAUACUAAAAGAAGAAUAAACUCCACAGCUAAGGUGUCCACAUCAGCAAAUUAAUUCGAGCCAAUCAGAUUCUAAAUAUAUGCCAUGUCAGCACGACCUUAAUCUUCCUUGCAAAUUUGUCGAUCAAAAUCCCAGAAACAGAUCAUUUGCUCACCCCGUUACAAUCUCUACAUCUCUUUUUCUCUCUUCUCCGAGCUUCUCCGUUGGGUGAACGACUACUGUUGAAUUGAUUUCUUCCUUUCGAUUCGAUUCUCUCUACCGAUUACUAAGGUUCUCUCUCUCUCCAUAGAUCAUCUCUCCUUUGUUUAUCCGCGAACGUAUCUCUCUAUUCUGAGCAGUUAGAUAGCCACCUUCUUUCUCUUCUCUUCUAAUUUAGUCUUUUGAUAGAUCUGAUUGAGAUUUUUUGAGGGUUUCAUCUUUCCAGCUUAUGGGUUUCGAUAAAGCCUCUUCCUUUACUUACGAUCACCCAUCUGCUAUUGGUUCAUCAAUGGCUGUUGAGAAAGGUUGGUCGUGACUGAAGCUUGACUCCGGAGAUGAAGAACUCGCCGUGAAAGCUUGGUCGCGGUAAAGCUCCGAGAUGGUGAGGUUGAAGACGACUCGACAGAGACGAAGCUUUCACUGAGAAGAGCACGGCUUGACGAAGCGGGUAAGAAACAUCGGGUUGGAGCGACGAAGCCUAACCGUUCGUUCCAGUUUCGAAUCAUCACAAGUGCUGGAGCGGGCAACGCACAGCGGGUUGAUGAAGUGGCCGUACCAUGAGCGUGCGCUGGAGCAGGUGGUGCUAGCGAGGAGAAGAAACCGCUCGGGACCUCAAACAAACUCGAAGCUGCACAGCAGCUUCUCAAAACAGGCUGAUGAAACCGCUGUGGUCAUUGCACUGCUCGGAGCAGCUUAGUGGAGCGAGGAGAAGAGGCCGCUCGCUUUGGUGAUCGUUGUGGAAUUUGCCAGGUUCAUUCUUAUCAAGGAUAAUGAGUAACAGGAGCAGCAGCAAUCGUUUUGAUUAUUUAAAGUUGCAAGCUUUUUUCUAGAUUUAGGACAAACUUUCAGUUAUGAGUGCAUCAUGGGCAGAUGUGGCUGACUCUGAGAAGGCUGCUUCCAGGGCAAAGCCUGCUUAUGUUCCCACACAUCUAAGGAACAUGCAGUCUGAGCCUGUUGCUACUUUGCCACAAAAUGAUCGUCCGGGGUAUGGUGGUCAACCGUCUAGAUGGGCUCCUGGAGGUGGAGUUGGUGGAGGCGGUGGCUACAGGAAUGAUGUAGGGAGGACGAGUAAGUGGUGGUGGUGGCUGGAACAACAGAGGUGGAGGAUGGGACCGUGAAGUUAAUCCGUUUGGAGAUGAUGCUGAUUUAGAACCUGCCGUUCAGGAGAAUACUGGCAUUAAUUUUGAUGCUUAUGAAGAUAUUCCCAUCGAGACCAGUUGAGGAUACGUGCCUCCUCCUGUUAACACUUUUGCUGACAUUGAUUUUGGGGAGGCGUUGAAUCUCAACAUCAGGAGGUGUAAGUACGUGAGGACAACACCUGUACAGCGUCACGCCAUUCCGAUACUUCUUGCAGAGAGGGAUUGAUGGCAUGUGCUUAGACAGGGUCUGUGAAGACUGCUGCCUUUUGCUUUCCGAUAAUUAGUGGAAUCAUGAGAGAUCAGCACCUUCAGAGACCUCGUGGUUCACGGACCGUUUACCCUCUUGCAAUUAUCCUCUCACCAACAAGGGAGCUGGCAUCUCAGAUUCAUGAAGCGAAAACAUUCACAUGCCAAACUGGUGUGAAGGUCAUUGUUGCUUACGGAGGAACACCUAUUAACCAGCAGGUAAUUAUCAUGCACAUGUAAUUUUUCUUUCUUGGUUGUCCACCUUUGUCUUUGGAUAUUGUUUUAUGUUUUAUAGGGGUGUUGUCUAUUUUAAGUUAAUAGCAGCUUACGGCUUACUGGUUUGGGGUCUGCUAGCUCUAUUCUUCCUUAUAUCAGUCUCAUUUUUGAAAUUAUGUUUUGAUUUUGAAGUCAGCAGUGCAUGAUUAAUAUUGUAUCGUACAUAACAUCAUGUUUAACGUGAUCCUCAUCCUCUUCA